rfam:Prunus persica cultivar Lovell chromosome G5, whole genome shotgun sequence.
UAGCUUUGAUGAAACUCCUUGUGUCCAGAGUCGGAGCUCUUGAGCACCUUCUAUGACGGUCACAAACCUCUAAGAAGUUCUGAGCUG